UCAUCUCCUUUUCUAAAGAUCGUUAUCAUAUAUUCCACUCAUAAACACUCGAGAUAUUAUAUUCACCCAUUCUUCUAAGAAUUUCAUCCUCGAAAUUUUAUUUAUUAAUCUUCAUUCAUUCAAUCUAUCAAAAUAGAUUUUAUGUUAAUACUUUAUUCAUUCAUUGGGUUUUAUAACCACUUCUUUCCACAAAGAUCUUUCUAUAAUUAUUAAACUUUUCUAUUAAAAGUUUUACAUUAUUCUUUGAUAACUCAUCUCCUUCUCAUUUCAAAAUUUCUUUUCUCACUUAUUCAAUAUAUUCAUCAUUCAGUGUCGCAUUCCACGACUCACUUCUUUCUCAGGAAUAUCAUCCUUACCACAUUCAUCUUUUAGAAUAGCAAGAAUCUUCCACAAUUGCUCAAUAAUUGGGAAGUAGUAUGAAUAACUCAGGAAUUUAAAGAUUCCAAAUCAUGCUGAGGGUCAUAAGACCUUGAACUACGUAAACGGUUAUAAGUACUCUUUUAACUUAAACCUUAACAAUCAUUAGACUAUAAGGACUCCCGUACUUAGGGUGUUAAGCCCUUCGUACGAUGUAUUGUACACAAACAUUUAAACGCUAUGUGUAUGUCCAUAGUUAUAAGUAAUCUUUCAACUUAAACUUUAACAGUCAUAAGAC
rnacentral:lncRNA from 1 species